UACAGAGGGUGCGAGCGUUGUCCGGAAUCACUGGGCGUAAAGGGCGCGUAGGCGGUUCGCUAAGUGGCUGGUGAAAUCCCGGGGCUCAACUCCGGGGCUGCCGGUCAGACUGGCGGACUCGAGCACGGUAGAGGCGGAUGGAAUUCCCGGAGUAGCGGUGGAAUGCGUAGAUAUCGGGAAGAAUACCGGUGGCGAAGGCGUUCCGCUGGGCCGUUGCUGACGCUGAGGCGCGACAGCGUGGGGAGCAAACAGG
rnacentral:rRNA from 1 species